ensembl:snoRNA
GAGCAAUGAUGAUAGUGUUUUGUACCUAAAGUACAUGUGAAUAACGCGUGUAUGAUAAUGAAGGUCUCUACACUUGAACUGAGCUCA